GAUGUUUAAUUCCAUUAUAACUGACACACUGCUUUUGGAAAGAUGGCGUUUACUUACUUUACAAUUAGAUCAAUAUUUGUCGUAUUUGUACUCUCUGCUUUCCAAAGUAUGAAGACUGUGAACUGCAAUUCAGAAAAUACAUGCAAGGGGGUGCUACAAAAUUGCUGCAAGUACUGUGAUAUUCAGGGGCAAGUUUCACAUAACGAUGACGUUUGUAAAACAGAAACAGAAAAGCGACCUCCUUUGAUGGCAAAAAUAUAAACCAGUACGGUAUCUUUUACGGGCCAUCGCCAUUAUUGAACACUUUAACAAUCUCUUUAUGGACUACCGUUUGGAAUGACGACUACUACAAAAAGAAUUCCUAUGUAGCAAUG